rnacentral:tRNA from 1 species
CGAAGCGUUGGCUCAGGUUGAGAUCGGGCUCGGCAAGAACGGGCGGCGAGCCUACGAGCUCGACGAGAUCGGGAUCGUGCCCGCGCGUCGU